ensembl:snRNA U6 U6 spliceosomal RNA
GUGCUCACUUCAGCAGCACAGCUCCUAAAACUGGAACAUAAGAGAAGAGGAGCGUGGUCCCUGCAUAAGGAUGACACGGAAAUUAAUGAGGCAUUCCAUGUUUUU